GACGAACGCUGGCGGCGUGCUUAACACAUGCAAGUCGAACAGUGGCGAACGGGUGAGUAACACGUGAGUAACCUGCCCUCCACUUUGGGAUAACUCCGAGAAAUCGGGGCUAAUACUGGAUAGUGGGGGAUGGGCUCGCGGCCUAUGAGUUUGUUGGUGCGGGAGUGGUCACCAAGGCGUGACGGGUAGCCGGCCAGGGAGGGCGACCGGCCACACGGGGACUAAGACACGGCCCAGACUCCAACGGGAGGCAGCAGUGGGGAAUAUGACACAGUGGGCGAAAGCCUGAUGCAGCGACGCCGGGUGGGGGAGGACGGCCUUCGGGUUGUAAACCUCUUUCAGCGAGAAAGCGGUACUUGCAGAAGAAGCGCCGGCUAACUACGUGCCAGCAGCCGCGGUAAUAC
rnacentral:rRNA from 1 species